UCUGCCCCUAGAGGUGUUGCAGAUGUGGCUGUUCUGUCACAUGUGUGUCAGUAGGUGGCAGAGAGGAGAGACACUAUGUCUACCCUCAACAUUUUUAUAUGUGAGUAUCUGAAAGAGCAAGUCAGAGA
ensembl:snoRNA LOC120093449 small nucleolar RNA SNORA17